rnacentral:rRNA from 1 species
UGGGGGAUAUUGCACAAUGGGGGGAACCCUGAUGCAGCGACGCCGCGUGAGUGAAGAAGUAAUUCGUUAUGUAAAGCUCUAUCAGCAGGGAAGAAGAAAUGACGGUACCUGAGUAAGAAGCCCCGGCUAACUACGUGCC